rnacentral:rRNA from 1 species
UGGGGAAUAUUGGACAAUGGGCGAAAGCCUGAUCCAGCCAUGCCGCGUGUGUGAAGAAGGUCUUCGGAUUGUAAAGCACUUUAAGUUGGGAGGAAGGGCAGUAAAUUAAUACUUUGCUGUUUUGACGUUACCGACAGAAUAAGCACCGGCUAACUCUGUGCCAGCAGCCGCGGUAAUACAGAGGGUGCAAGCGUUAAUCGGAAUUACUGGGCGUAAAGCGCGCGUAGGUGGUUCGUUAAGUUGGAUGUGAAAUCCCCGGGCUCAACCUGGGAACUGCAUUCAAAACUGACGAGCUAGAGUAUGGUAGAGGGUGGUGGAAUUUCCUGUGUAGCGGUGAAAUGCGUAGAUAUAGGAAGGAACACCAGUGGCGAAGGCGACCACCUGGACUGAUACUGACACUGAGGUGCGAAAGCGUGGGGAGCAAAAGCAGGAUUAGA